AUGAACCUCACAUAUCUCGUCCUCACUGUCUGCCUGGGCCACCUCCUGGGCACCAUGGGACAGAUCAUUGUCAACCAGGAAGAAGGACGAGUCCUGGUAAAGGAGAGAGACCCCUUCCACGCCACCUGUACAUACCAGACCAGAACCUUUUACGGAUUGCUGUGGUACCAGCAGAGGAAAGGACAAGCCCCACAGCUGCUCUCCUUCCAGGCAGGGGCUGGCCAGAGGCAGAGCGGCCGUAUCAGCACGUUGCUGAACACCACGGGCAAAUACAGUGUCCUGCAGGUGGAGGCAGUGGAGGUCUCUGACAGUGCCUUGUACCUGUGUGCUGUGCGAGACACCCUGGUG